rnacentral:tRNA from 1 species
GGGGAUGUAGCUCAGUGGCAGAGCGCUUGCCUAGCAUGCACUGGGCUCUCAGUUCCAUCCCCA